AACACCUCAAUCCCCUAAAUCUUGAAAAAGAAAAGGAAUUGGACUUGAGCUAUCCCAACAAACGUAAAACUUUGGCGGGUCGCUUGAAAUGCAGGUGCAGCUGGAACUACUCUUCUGAGCUAUAAGCAUAUCUAUUUAGUCCCGUCAAACGGAUUAUUAUUUUUUGCUGCAGCUAACGUAAAGGAAAAGUAGAUCCGCUAUGCUGACUGAUGCAGGAAUUAGCAGUGAACGUCUCUUUGAGGCGCUUACUGUGAA
rnacentral:misc_RNA from 1 species